rnacentral:rRNA from 1 species
AUUGAACGCUGGCGGCAGGCCUAACACAUGCAAGUCGAGCGGAGCGGCGGACGGGUGAGUAAUGCAUAGGAAUCUGACUGGUCGUGGGGGAUAACGUACGGAAACGGGCGCUAAUACCGCAUACUAUCAGAUGAGCCUAGGUCGGCUUAGCUAGUUGGUGGGGUAGAGGCCUACCAAGGGGACGAUCCGGAACUGGUCUGAGAGGAUGAUCAGUCACACGGGAACUGAGAAACGGUCCCGCCUCCUACGGGAGGCAGCAGUGGGGAUUAUUGGACAAUGGGCGAAGGCCUGAUCCAGCCAUGCCGCGGGUUUGAAGAAGGUCUUCGGAUUGUAAAGCCCUUUAAGUUGGGAGGCGUUACCAACAGAAUAAGCACCGGCUAACUUCGUGCCAGCAGCCGCGGUAAUUC